CGUUCACACGGUCAAUAUUGGAAUUUGAAAAUUUUAACAAUUUAAAAUGCAAUUAAAUUUUGUUUAUCAACAAAAAUUAGUCCAACUUGUAACUUAAAAACAGUUAUUCAGCUGAUUUGUGAUGGAUUAGUGUGUUUAAUAGCUCGUUUACCCUUUACUUAAAUUAUAAUAGCCAAUCACUAGCAAAUUGACUUUUUUCAAGCAUUUUUCAUUUUUCUCAACAGCUUUCAACAUUUCAACCAGGGUAAUUAAAAUCCAAUUUAAAUAGGAUUUCAGUGACUUUUGUGUUCGUUUUUCUGAAAAUUCCAAAAUUAUUUAGGAUUCAACUCACUUGUAUUAUAUAUUAACAUCCUUGAGGAUUCUAUUAUAAUUACAUCUACAAGAGUCUCUUUCGUGUCUACAACUACUGUGUUUAUCAUUUGUUUCUUAUGUUCUUUGUGUUAUUAAUUUUUUUAUCAAAUUCCUCUAUGAAAGAUUAUUAUUAUUAAGCGUCUUAUCUUCAAGGCCCUGUUAUUAAGUCUAAAAAUGACUGGUUCAAGUUUCGUCGAAACAAAUUUUGUUACUCUUUCCAUUGUAAAGAUAAUAAUUACCAUGCUCGUCAUAACCAAAUCAAAUUUUGAAGGAAUACAAUUCAAUGGUUUUGCUGCUGUUAACUGAAAUAUCUAUUUUUUUACUCUCAAAGGAAACAAUUAUGGCGAUAGUAGGAAUCGUGAAUGUGUCUAUUAGACGUAAAUGAUUGGAUUGAAAUGAAUCAGAGAAGUGAAAUUUCUCAACCUGUAUUUGAUUACUGAUUUUACAUGCCGUAGGCAAUUGAUUGAACUGACUUCAACACCUUGUUAUCAAUGAGGAAAAAAACUGGACAAGUUGAUCAUUUCCCAAGCUCAAACAUGAUACUCAUUGAUUUACAAACCAACCAAGUUUAAUGUUUCUUUUAUGUUUACUUAAAUUCACGACAAUUUGUAUCAAGUUGUCAUGAUUUGUCAUUUAUAUGUUGAAAUUGCAUGCUUCAGAUUUUUGCAAGUUUGGCAUUAAUGGCCCACUCAAGGCAACCAUGCUAUUUGAUUAAUUGAAACUUGAAAAAAAGUCUUCAUCAUUCAAGAUUUUUGUUGAAUAAUUUGCUAAACAAAUCACUACAAUGUAUUGGAUUCUUAGCAACUUGUCAUUCAAUCAGGAAGAGAAUGAUGAAAAUGAUAAAGACUAAUCUUUCUGGUAUUAGUGAAAGCUCAACUGACAAUCAAUUUCAUAUUUUUUCAAUCAUGAUGACAAUUAAACUGUUGAACCAAUAAUUUACUAGCCAUGAAAGGCAAUAACAAGUAAACUUUGAAAAGUUUAUUUCCAUGAAUUGAACAAUUUUUUGCCUCUAAACAUCUUGAUAGAUUGAAUCAUUUUUGACAAAAUGUCUGUAAAUUUAGGUCAGUUAGAGUCUUAAUUAUUGUAAUAAUUGACUUGUAGUCUCAUUAUU